rnacentral:rRNA from 1 species
GAUGAACGCUGGCGGCGUGCCUAAUACAUGCAAGUCGAGCGAACAGAUAAGGAGCUUGCUCCUUUGAAGUUAGCGGCGGACGGGUGAGUAACACGUGGGUAACCUACCUAUAAGACUGGGAUAACUUCGGGAAACCGGAGCUAAUACCGGAUAACAUUUAGAACCGCAUGGUUCUAAAGUGAAUGAUGGUUUUGCUAUCACUUAUAGAUGGACCCGCGCCGUAUUAGCUAGUUGGUAAGGUAACGGCUUACCAAGGCGACGAUACGUAGCCGACCUGAGAGGGUGAUCGGCCACACUGGAACUGAGACACGGUCCAGACUCCUACGGGAGGCAGCAGUAGGGAAUCUUCCGCAAUGGGCGAAAGCCUGACGGAGCAACGCCGCGUGAGUGAUGAAGGGUUUCGGCUCGUAAAACUCUGUUAUUAGGGAAGAACAAAUGUGUAAGUAACUGUGCACAUCUUGACGGUACCUAAUCAGAAAGCCACGGCUAACUACGUGCCAGCAGUCGCGGUAAUACGUAGGUGGCAAGCGUUAUCCGGAAUAAUGGGCGUAAGCGCGCGUAGGCGGUUUCUUAGUCUGAUGUGAAAGCCCACGGCUCAACCGUGGAGGGUCAUUGGAAACUGGGAAACUUGAGUGCAGAAGAGGAAAGUGGAAUUCCAUGUGUAGCGGUGAAAUGCGCAGAGAUAUGGAGGAACACCAGUGGCGAAGGCGACUUUCUGGUCUGUAACUGACGCUGAUGUGCGAAAGCGUGGGGAUCAAACAGGAUUAGAUACCCUGGUAGUCCACGCCGUAAACGAUGAGUGCUAAGUGUUAGGGGGUUUCCGCCCCUUAGUGCUGCAGCUAACGCAUUAAGCACUCCGCCUGGGGAGUACGACCGCAAGGUUGAAACUCAAAGGAAUUGACGGGGACCCGCACAAGCGGUGGAGCAUGUGGUUUAAUUCGAAGCAACGCGAAGAACCUUACCAAAUCUUGACAUCCUUUGAAAACUCUAGAGAUAGAGCCUUCCCCUUCGGGGGACAAAGUGACAGGUGGUGCAUGGUUGUCGUCAGCUCGUGUCGUGAGAUGUUGGGUUAAGUCCCGCAACGAGCGCAACCCUUAAGCUUAGUUGCCAUCAUUAAGUUGGGCACUCUAGGUUGACUGCCGGUGACAAACCGGAGGAAGGUGGGGAUGACGUCAAAUCAUCAUGCCCCUUAUGAUUUGGGCUACACACGUGCUACAAUGGACAAUACAAAGGGCAGCUAAACCGCGAGGUCAUGCAAAUCCCAUAAAGUUGUUCUCAGUUCGGAUUGUAGUCUGCAACUCGACUACAUGAAGCUGGAAUCGCUAGUAAUCGUAGAUCAGCAUGCUACGGUGAAUACGUUCCCGGGUCU